rnacentral:tRNA from 1 species
UUAGUCGAAACCAAAAAGAGGUAUAUCACUGUUAAUGAUAAAAUUGAAUCAAAUUCCGUCUAAG